AUGAAUAUGAAUCUAUCAAUUUCAAUUCCCUCUGCAGGGACAAGACUCUAUGCUGUCCAGACUGGAGCGGACUGCGGCUUUAAGUGGCUCACUCUCAACACCCUGAAAGAGCGAGCCAGAGAGGUAAACUAUGCCCACAGGGCCCGUCUUCUCACACAUACCUGUCACACUGUGAGAACCGCUACUGCUGCUGCUUUCCUGGAAACAGCAGAACAAAGGUUUGAUCCUGUCGGGCUCAGUCCCCCACCCAAGUGUCUCCUCCUCCUCAUCCUCACAUCCUGACUGUGAUGCUUCUGGGGCAGGCUGCUUACCAGGGUAUGGGAGGUGUCAGAACCCACAUGAGUAUGCUGCAGUAUUUAAUGUAUUGUUUUGUGGACAUGAUGACUGUAGUAUACUGCAGUAUUUAUUGUAGUGUUUUGUGUACAUGACUAGGGUUGGACAUUUUGGGGAAUAUUCAGAGGUGGAAACUUUCUGUGGGAAUUAACGGGAAUAUAGAGGUCUUAACUGAAAUAUAUGCAAAUUAAUAUUAAUACCAUUUAAAUGUAGAUGUUUUUUGCAUUGGAUAUACACUGCUCAAAAAAAGAAAGGAACACUAAAAUAACACAUCCUAGAUCUGAAUGAAUGAAAUAUUCUUAUUAAGUACUUUUUUCUUUCCAUAGUUGAAUGUGCUGACAACAAAAUCACACAAAAAUUAUCAAUGGAAAUCAAAUUUAUCAACCCAUGGAGGUCUGGAUUUGGAGUCACACUCAAAAUUAAAGUGGAAAACCACACUACAGGCUGAUCCAACUUUGAUUUAAUGUCCUUAAAACAAGUCAAAAUGAGGCUCAGUAGUGUGUGUGGCCUCCACAUGCCUGGGCAUGCUGCUGAUGAGGUGGCGGAUGGUCUCCUGAGGGAUCUCCUCCCAGACUUGGACUAAAGCAUCCGCCAACUCCUGGACAGUCUGUGGUGCAACGUGGGGUUGGUGGAUGGAGCGAGACAUGAUGUCCCAGAUGUGCUCAAUUGGAUUCAGGUCUGGGGAACGGGCGGGCCAGUACAUAGCAUCAAUGCCUUCCUCUUGCAGGAACUGCUGACACACUCCAUGUCACGUUUCUUCAAAAUCGAACCCAGAAGCAGACCAGGACAAGGAGAGUAGGAAGAAGGUGAGUAUUUAUUUACAAGUGAAUGUGAGUGGGUAGAUACAUCCAGGUGGCGUAGCGGGCAGCGGUGGUGAGUUGAUGGGAGUAAAUAGGUGGAUCCAAUGGGGAAGCGGAAUCCUCUGAUGACCAGGCGGGAAUGGGGUAAAUGAUCCGGGUGAGUAACUGAAGACAGAACAAACGGAGGUAAGUUGAAGGCAAGCAAGACGUACAAAACAACAAAACAAAUUCUAUCCAACUUGAGGCUGAUACUAUGGCACAACAUACUGUUCAUGGCUAACGAUCCGGCAGGGAAUGGAUGUCAGGUCAGAGCUUUUGAAGGGGAGAGGUGAUGAUCAGGACAGGUGUGCAGAUUACUGAUGGGAUACAGGUGCGGGUGAACAUCGAUCUCCCAACAAGCUAAUCUGCCCGGCAACCAGACAGGGUGCGUUCCAGGACACCGGAAACACACUCCAGGACAGAAACACAGGCAAACACAGACUCAGGAAGCGGGGUUCGUGACACUCCAGCCACAUGAGCUCUAGCAUUGUCUUGCAUUAGGAGGAACCCAGGGCCAACUGCACCAGCAUAUGGUCUCACAAGGGGUCUGAGGAUCUCAUCUCGGUACCUAAUGGCAGUCAGGCUACCUCUGGCGAGCACUGUGCGGCCCCCCAAAGAAAUGCCACCCCUUGGUGUUCUCUGGCAAAUGCCAAACGUCCUGCACGGUGUUGGGCUGUAAGCACAACCCCCACCUGUGGACGUCGGGCCCUCAUACCACCCUCAUGGAGUCUGUUUCUGACCGUUCGAGCAGACACAUGCACAUUUGUGGCCUGCUGGAGGUCAUUUUGCAGGGCUCUGGCAGUGCUCCUCCUGCUCCUCCUUGCACAAAGGCGGAGGUAGCGGUCCUGCUGCUGGGUUGUUGCCCUCCUACGGCCUCCUCCUCGUCUCCUGAUGUACUGGCCUGUCUCCUGGUAGCGCCUCCAUGCUCUGGAGACUACGCUGACAGACACAGCAAAUCUUCUUGCCACAGCUCGCAUUGAUGUGCCAUCCUGGAUGAGUUGCACUACCUGAGCCACUUGUGUGUGUUGUAGACUCUGUCUCAUGCUACCACUAGAGUGAAAGCACCACCAGCAUUCAAAAGUGACCAAAACAUCAGCCAGGAAGCAUAGGAACUGAGAAGUGGUCUGUGGUCACCACCUGCAGAACCACUCCUUUAUUGGGGGUGUCUUGCUAAUUGCCUAUAAUUUCCACCUGUUGUCAAUCCAUUUGCACAACAGCAUGUGAAAUUUAUUGUUACAUUGUGUUGUUUAAGUGUUCCCUUAAUUUUUUUGAGCAGUGUAUUUACCAUAUCAUACAGACACAGAAACAUAAACCUUUAACCUUAUCAUAAGUAGACAUAAUUGCAAAUGAUUAAAUCCUUCCAAUAGAAAUAAAAAAACUAUUUAGUUAUGAAUUGAACUUUGAUUAAAUUAGUUGAAUCUUCACAUGGGAUGAUUUCAAUGAACAACAAAAGAAAGGAGUGGAAUAUUGAGUGAUCCUCAUUGAUCCAUCUGUAACGGCAGAUCUCCUCUUCGUCUGAAGAGGAGUAAGGAUCGGAUCAAGAUGUAGCGUGGUAAG
ensembl:lncRNA